UACGUGAGGGGCAAGCGUUGUCCGGAUUUAUUGGGCGUAAAGAGCGUGUAGGCGGCCAUGUAGGUCCGUUGUGAAAACUCGAGGCUCAACCUCGAGACGCCGAUGGAAACCAUGUGGCUAGAGUCCGGAAGAGGAGAGUGGAAUUCCUGGUGUAGCGGUGAAAUGCGCAGAUAUCAGGAAGAACACCCGUGGCUAAGGCGGCUCUCUAGUACGGUACUGACGCUGAGACGCGAAAGCGUGGGGAGCAAACAGG
rnacentral:rRNA from 1 species